GCAGAGCAUCCUACGGGAGGCAGCAGUGGGGAAUAUUGCACAAUGGGCGCAAGCCUGAUGCAGCCAUGCCGCGUGUAUUGAAGAAGGCCUUCGGGUUGUAAAGUACUUUCAGCAGUGAGGAAGGUGGGUAUGUUAAUAGCAUAUUCAUUUGACGUUAGCUGCAGAAGAAGCACCGGCUAACUCCGUGCCAGCAGCCGCGGUAAUACGAAGGGUGCGAGCGUUAAUCGGAAUUACUGGGCGUAAAGCGCAUGCAGGUGGUUUGUUAAGUCAGAUGUGAAAGCCCGGGGCUCAACCUCGGAAUUGCAUUUGAAACUGGCAAACUAGAGUACUGUAGAGGGGGUAGAAUUUCAGGUGUAGCGGUGAAAUGCGUAGAGAUCUGAAGGAAUACCGGUGGCGAAGGCGGCCCCCUGGACAGAUACUGACACUCAGAUGCGAAAGCGUGGGGAGCAAACAGGAUUAGAUACCCUGGUAG
rnacentral:rRNA from 1 species